rnacentral:sRNA from 1 species
AGAGAAAUAAAGAAGAAGAAAAAA